AUGGUUGGAUUGAUCAAGCCAUCCUCGGGCCUGAUCAUUCUUUGACUAGAAUCAUUGAGUGGGUUCAUGUUAAUGGUUGGACUUAAUUGGGACUUUCAGUAGAGGCCAUCGCCUACUAAAAUAAAAUCUCAGACUAAAUUAAAUACUAAAAGUUGUUUGGAGAAAUAAUUGGUUGAGAACCUACCGAUAGGUGUAUAUAGAUUGAUCAAGCUAUCCUCAGGC
rnacentral:lncRNA from 1 species